rfam:Brassica rapa chromosome A5, whole genome shotgun sequence.
CUGACAUGUGUGCGAGUCAACGGGUGAGUAAACCCGUAAGGCGCAAGGAAGCUGAUUGGCUGGAUCCCUCACGGGUGCACAGCCGACCGACCUUGAUCUUCUGAGAAGGGUUCGAGUGUGAGCAUGCCUGUCGGGACCCAAAAGAUGGUGAACUAUGCCGGAGCGGGGCGAAGCCAGAGGAAACUCUGGUGGAGGCCCGUAGCGAUACUGACGUACAAAUUGUUCGUCUGACUUGGGUAUAGGGGCAAAAAAGUUAUCAUAUUCCCAAACAGG